GCAGUGUGUGAAACACUUAAAAGUAUUGAUGAUACUGAAGAAAUAACAAGGCUCUACAGCAUAGAAACCUGUGACAAUAGUAAGAAAGUGCUGGCACCUGUGGCAGCUAGAUUGGUGAAAAGGAGCUUGGUACCUCUGACGUACAGAAUGAAAUCUGAGAUAUUAGAUUGCUUGUCCCCAAAGGACCAAUCUUUUUAUCCAAACAAUCCAAAGCCCCAGAGAGAAAACUCAUGUCACAAUGUGAAGAAGGGCAGGAGAUGGGCUAUCAGAAGAUGACCGACAGCAUCACUGUGAGCAGACCAGCCUUCUAGAGCACACAGGAAGCAAUGUUCAAGAGAUAAGAGAAUGUCCAGUGAUCUGCAAUGAAGCCAGAAUGGAAACACUUUGGAAAAGACUG